AUUUCCCUCUUUCUUUAGGCCUAACACAUGCAAGUCGAACGGCAGCACAGUAAGAGCUUGCUCUUACGGGUGGCGAGUGGCGGACGGGUGAGGAAUACAUCGGAAUCUACUUUUUCGUGGGGGAUAACGUAGGGAAACUUACGCUAAUACCGCAUACGACCUACGGGUGAAAGCAGGGGAUCUUCGGACCUUGCGCGAUUGAAUGAGCCGAUGUCGGAUUAGCUAGUUGGCGGGGUAAAGGCCCACCAAGGCGACGAUCCGUAGCUGGUCUGAGAGGAUGAUCAGCCACACUGGAACUGAGACACGGUCCAGACUCCUACGGGAGGCAGCAGUGGGGAAUAUUGGACAAUGGGCGCAAGCCUGAUCCAGCCAUACCGCGUGGGUGAAGAAGGCCUUCGGGUUGUAAAGCCCUUUUGUUGGGAAAGAAAAGCAGCAGGUUAAUACCCCGCUGUUCUGACGGUACCCAAAGAAUAAGCACCGGCUAACUUCGUG
rnacentral:rRNA from 1 species